UUUGGAUAUAAAAACUUUGAGGUGGUCAACAAAAAAAGAACUGCAGUCUGUAAAACAUGCAGGACGAAGAUAACAGACGGAGACGCGACAACUUCCAACUUCGUUCGACAUUUGAAGUUGCACAAAGAACGAUUUGAAGAAUACCAGAUGAGUAGAAGCAUCAUAGAUGAACCACAACAUCCUUCAAUCUCACAGUUCUUGGACAGUCAUGUAAUGCAUUACAGCAUGAGUCAUCCACAGCAGAAGGAAAUCACCAACACAAUACUGUCCGAUUUGAUUAUUGAUUGCAACCUUCCCCUGUCUAUUGUGGAACACAAGAGUUUUCGGCACUUUCUGACAGUAAUUGACAGUAAGUACAGCCCAGUGUGUUGCAGAACGUUGACAUCAAAAACAGAGAGCCUCGCUGGGGAGAAACGUUCAAGAUUAAAACUCAACUGAGCAACACUGAGCAUGUUUCAGUCACUGUGGACAUUUGGUCUGACCGAAAGAUGUGGGGAUUCCUUGGUGUCACUGUCCACUGGAUAGAGAAAGAGACAGCUAAAGAGAGGAUACAGCUAAAUACAAAUCUCUUGGCCUGCAAUUGCUUCACAGGCUCACACAGCUGAACGAAUCUGUGAGCAAUUUGAGUCAAUAUGCGAUGAAUACAACAUCAAAGAUAAAUUGGACUACAUUAUUAGUGACAAUGCUGCUAACAUGCGAAAAGCAUUCACUGUGUGCUUCCCCAGUAAACAAGGGGAUGAUGACGGAGAUCAUCUUGAUGACCCUGAUCUCUGGUGUGACUUAACCCUGGAAGAACAGCAAACGGUAGAUGCUGCUAUGGCAAAGAAACAGCUCCUGCAGUGUUUUGCGCAUACUCUUCAGCUGGUGGUGGGAGACGGUUUGAAAGAAAACAAAAGUGGCAUGUCCUUCUCGUUCCAAGUUAUCAAAACUUAGCUCAUUGCUGCACACAAGCACAACAUUCAAAGAUGUGUUUGAUAGUGAAUUUGGGAACAGAAAGGCGUCCCUGCUGCAGUCAACACAAGAUGGAACUCAACACUGAGGCAAGUAAAGGCAGUUCUCCAGUGUGAUCAUCUAAAGCUCUGUGCUAUUCUAGAAAAGGCUGGGCAUAAGGAGUUGUCAUUCACACCACGAGAGUGGAAUCUGUUGAAGGAGUUGGUGGACAUCUUGAAGCCGUUUGGAGAAGCAACUGAUUUGACACAGGGAGAGAAGGUCGUCACAAUCAGUGCAGUUGUUCCAGCCGUCUUGUCCCUCAAUCAUCACCUUGAGAAGCUGAAGCCUGAAGUUCGUUUCCUGAGCGGCCUGGUCGGAAGUCUCCAGGCAUCCCUGAACAAAAGAGUUUGUGGGAUCUUCAUUAACGUGAAAAUGGCCGGGAUUUAAGAUGGGAUCACUGCCCCCUUUUCAGACCCAGUCUACCUCAAAGCAGCCGCCUUGGAUCCAGCCUUUUCUCUGCUGUGGGUGGAGCACCAUGUACUGGUCAAUCGUGACAUCAAGGCAGAGGUGGCUCAACAAGUUAAAGAGACUGAGCAACCUGUGCCUCUGGUUGAUGAAGAAGAGCAAGAGGACCUUGGACAAGGAGAAGGGCUGUUUGCUGCAUACCAUAGGAGGCAGAAGAAGGAUGUUGGGACCACUCCAGCACUACAGCUAAGUCACUACCUAGACACAGCCGAAGGACAGAACGGCCUUUUGUUCUGGGCACUGAACAUGAAGUCUCUUCCUUCGCUCUUCCGAAUCAUCAUCUAAUUGGCACAAAAAUAACAUGUAUGUAUAUGUUCUUGGUAACAGAAAAAAUGUUCACUACUUAAAUUGA